rnacentral:lncRNA from 1 species
AGGAGCGGCCUGGCUUUGUCUGAGUCAGGCAGCCCAGCGUGUGGGAUGCCAGGCUGGAUGUGCUGGGCCUGACCAGCCGCCCGCUUUCCUCUUCUCUUGCCUCUGCCUGCCCCCUGGUGGACAGCUGGGGUAAAGCAUGGGAGUGCGCCUUUGGGGUCUCAGUGGGGCUGAAAUACGACUCCUCCCCUAGGACAGCCUGCCUUCCCCAGCCUUGUUCUCCGGCAAAGUCAAUUUCCUGGAGAAUCGAGGCUCUGCCUCAGAUGUUCGGAGCCUCCGCAGGAUGAACACCUCCAUUUCAAUUCCAGGGGCUUUGAUCAACCUGUGCCUCCCUUGAUCCCCAACUUGUGGGCACCUUCCCUUGAGCAGUGCCCCCACGAGGUACACCUUUCCCGGGAAACAAAAAUCAUUCCUUCUUUGGGUCCUGCAAGCUGUAAAGAACCAAUACAGCACUGUGCUACUGAACAUGUUGCCACUAUAGAAGCCCCUUGUGUUUUGAAGAGUACAUCUCUAUAGCCAUUCGUUUAUUCAUCAGAAACCAGCUAGAAGCCAGGCCCUGUGCUGGGCGCUGGAGACAUGGAAGAAACUGGGCUGAGGCUCCCGCCUUGAAGAGCUUGUGGCCCAGGGAAGGGACAGUUCAUCUGUCAUUGAUUGCCACGUGACAGUGUCUAUGAUGCUAAAAAGAUGCCAGUGCUGUGCUGCAGGAGCAAAGGCCGUGGAGGAAGAGGCUUUGGCUUUGUUGCGAGUCCUUGCCAGAGCCAGGCAAAGCCAGUCACCGCUUUGUUCAGAUGACUCAGGUAAAUAAAUGAGGCCGCACAGGCUGUCCUGACACCACACACCUCUAGAAUACCCUGGCUGUGCUGGGAGCUAUUGGUGUCAGCUGAGUAUUUUCAUCCCUGUCCAAGUCACAAUGAUCUGACUGUACCAGCCUGUGUGGAUGUUGCUAAGAGGAGGCAGACAGCACCAUGAGCUCCCUUAGAUGACGAUCGGCAUGAUGUUCCUGCUGUGGCAGCGCUCAGCUCUUGCCAAUGCUCUUCUCUGCUUUGCUCACUUUAAGCCUCCCUUAAUUUUUUUGAAGCCCAGUUUCCACAUUGCUGAUUCACAGAUAUGCAAGACUCAGGCAGGAAAAAAAAAAGUGUCUCCUUUUCCAGACUUCUUAGAGGACUUGGAAAGAAAAUGAAAUGACGUUGAACGAAAUCAAAGUAAAUUGAGUGAUCUGAAACGAUUUGAUGUCAGCAAGAAUUCCCCAUACAGCUCACAGCCCUACCCCGAGCACGCCUCCCUCUUGGGUAUGCUCUCUGCAGGCCCAAACCUUGCAGAAGCCAUUCCAUGUUUCCUGAGCAGGAAAAGACAAACUCAGACCGACAACCUUGGACUUCAAAAGACUGCACACAAGGGGAGGAAGGACUGAGAGUACCAAGGCGUGAGAAUUCAGAAUGCUGCUAUCUCAUUUAUUUUUACCAUUUAGGAAACGUUUUGAUCUGCAUUCCUUUUCCCUUCCCUGAUUUCAAAAAAUAAAAAUAAAAAUGCUUCGGUUCUGAGGAGUAACUCUCCA